rnacentral:lncRNA from 1 species
UGAACUUGAAAGAGAAACAACAUUAUCAAGAUCUAUUUCAAAGAGAUCAUACAACUCCUUUAACAACAAUUUUAUCCUUUCUGCGACAACAUUAAGUUGAUUCCACAAUGACCUAAGACGAUCUUCUGCUCUUUUCAGUUUCUUCUCUAGAUCAUCAAAUUUCUUGUUUAUUCCUUAUCAUCUCGUGUAGCGUCAUAAAUUUCUUCCGUAUAUCAAAGUAGGGUUUGAACUUUAGUCUAAUAACAAACUAUAAAAAUUAAUGUCUAGAGAUAACUAAAGUACAAUUAACAAUUGAAAGAAAAGAUAGAUAAUUUCAAUUGUUACCUUCAUAUCUGGAGCAAUAGAAAUUUCGAUAAUCCAGAUGUUAUUUUGAUUGGCACUAAUACAUCACUAUGUGGUUUAAAUAGAAG